UGAGGAAUAUUGGUCAAUGGGCGUAAGCCUGAACCAGCCAAGUCGCGUGAGGGAUGAAGGAUCUAUGGUUCGUAAACCUCUUUUAUAAGGGAAUAAAGUGCGGGACGUGUCCUGUUUUGUAUGUACCUUAUGAAUAAGGAUCGGCUAACUCCGUGCCAGCAGCCGCGGUAAUACGGAGGAUCCGAGCGUUAUCCGGAUUUAUUGGGUUUAAAGGGUGCGUAGGCGGCCUUUUAAGUCAGCGGUGAAAGUCUGUGGCUCAACCAUAGAAUUGCCGUUGAAACUGGGGGGCUUGAGUAUGUUUGAGGCAGGCGGAAUGCGUGGUGUAGCGGUGAAAUGCAUAGAUAUCACGCAGAACCCCGAUUGCGAAGGCAGCCUGCCAAGCCAUGACUGACGCUGAUGCACGAAAGCGUGGGGAUCGAACA
rnacentral:rRNA from 1 species